GUCGGCUCAUAAAUGUGACAGGCCCCCGUUAAAGGUCCGCCCGCACUGACGGGCACUUACGAUCUGGGCCACGGCUCCGCUUCAUCUAGCACCAACGGACGCCGCCGCCCACAUCUGUUCCCCUUUCACGAUCAAUUCCCAGUGCCACCAGUUAGAUUCACCUCAUGACUGCCUCCUCAUCGUCCUCUGCCGCCGGCGACGUACUGCCUCUGAUGCCUUGUCCCGAUUGGGGCGGCAAGGUUAUAAGCUGGAUUUCCAGCGGCGGAGCUAUCCUGGGCUCCCUGUUCUACAGGUGCGUCAGGAAAGAUGCUGGCCUGUGUGGAUUCAGAUCCACCGAGGUGUACACCGCCGUGUUCAUGAAUCUUCUAGCUGGCGGCCGAUGUCCCGUGUCCUGUGUAUUCAUGUUGACCCCACAGAUGGAUAUCUAUUAGUAUGUGUACUCAUUAGUGUCCUGGUUAGUUAUCCAUCAUGUAGUAGUAUUAAAAAAGCAAGUAAUGGAUGGUCUGUAUUUUGGUAUUUCCCCACUGUCCCUUUUGUGGCAACCAUGGUUAUGUGUCAUGUGGUCGUUGUAAUCAUCUCGUUUUAAUUGUUAUGUAAUUUUUAAAAUUUUGAUUGCUGCUA